rnacentral:lncRNA from 1 species
AAAAUACUAAUCUUACAAACUUCAGCUUUCAGGAAUCAUAGUAAAUAAUAAUUUUAUUGUCAGCAAUAUAUGUAAGGCUACAUUUCAUGACUAAAGAUUUAAAGCAAUAAAACAGCAUGACUAUAAUAAGAAUAGCUAAUCAUAGUGAUUUAUUGAUAAUGCCAGUGUUUUUACAUUUUAUCUCUUUUAAUAUAAUAAUGCCAUGAGCUCUAAGUACAGUAUACUUUCGUUAUCCCUAUUUUACACACAAGGAACCUGAGGCACAGAGAGUAUUGAGUAUUAGCUGAAUAUCACAUAGCUGAUAAGUGGUAGAGCUGGCAUAUAGAGCUGACUCCAGAACCCUGGCUUCUCACUGCCAUGCUAUAUGAGGAAAAUAUAUAUAAGAAAGUUGCUUUGUGAGAGAUUUGCUUUAGCUAACUUUUACUACAGUGUCAUUAUUCAUCAUUUAAUAUUAGAAAUACUCUAAUUGCAAAAUUAAUCCAGAUAAAUUGAAAAGCAUUGGUAUUACUGAUGAUUACAGAGAGUCUUGAGGUCAAAUAAAAGAUUUAGAAAAAUUAGGUUUUGUUGAAGACUGAAUUCAGACAUGUUACAGUAAAAUGGUUUUAUAUACUUCUCAUGACCAUUAUUAAUAAGCAUAAUGUGUAAUUUUGUUUUCUAAAAAUGGCACUGAAAAAAAUGACUGUAAGUUCAGUCUAUUCUAAUUUGUUUAGACUUUUUAUUCCUGCAUUCAGGAACACCCUUAGCAGUUUUGAGGGGCAUUACGAAAUUUGGUAUGAUUACAAAGACUAUAACUUCAGAAACUAGAAGAAAUUUGCAGUUACCUUGAUUUUGUCAGGUAGGAGAAAGGACAACCACAGAGAAUAAACUUCAUCAGUUCUCUGCUCUAACAGGAGCCUUGUUAUUCUUCAUGUCUCUGUUUGAUGUUCUGAAUAACCUUACUUUUUUGGCUCUAUUUAUCUUUAAUUACUAUGCAUGCUUACUUUGUUUUUUUUGUUUUGUUUUGACAGAGUUUUGUUCUUGUUGCCCAGGCUAGAGUGCAGUGGCAUGAUCUCAGCUCACUGCAGCCUCCGCUUCCCGGGUUCAACCAAUUCUUCUGCCUCAGCCUUCCUAGUAGCUGGAAUUACAGGUGUCCACCACCAAGCCCAGGUCUCUUUUCUUCAGCUGGGAUAAUGUCUCCUGAUCUGCCAAAUUCAUUGAUUCCUUCUUCUGCCAUCUUGAAUCUGCUACUGAGUGCUUCUAGUGAAUCCCUCACUUCAGUUUUCAAAUCCAGAAUAUGCGUUUGGUUCCUUUUUCUAAUUUCUAUUACCUGAGAGUUUCUAUUUGUUGAUUCACUGCUGUCAUAUGUUAAUUUUUUAAACAUGGUUUAUUUUAGUUCUUUGAAUGAAAUAGCUGCUUUUAAAAAUAGUUGCUGUAUAUGUUGUGUCUGCAAAAUCUAGCAUUUGGGGACAACCAGAGACUAUUUCUGUUCAACGAAUUUUUCCCCUGAAUAUGGGUCACAUAUUCUUGGUUUUUGCACAUUUUUUUUGAGAUGGAGUUUCGCUCUUUUUACCCAGGCUGGAGUGCAAUGGCGCGAUCUCGGCUCACCGCAACCUCUGCCUCCUGGGUUCAGGCAAUUCUCCUGCCUCAGCCUCCCGAGUAGCUGGGACUACAGGCACACGCCACCACGCCCAGCUAAUUUUUUGUAUUUUUAGUAGAGACGGGGUUUCACCUUGUUGACCAGGAUGGUCUCAAUCUCUUGACCUCGUGAUCCACCCGCCUUGGCCUCCCAAAGUGCUGGGAUUACAGGCUUGAGCCACAGCGCCCGGCCGGUUUUUGCACAUCUUAUAAUUAUUUUGUUGGAAAGUGGGCAUAUUUGAUAAUGUAUUGUAGUAAGUUUGUAUUCUAAUUUUUUGACUUCAUAAAGACUAUUAUUGUUGCUGUUUUUUGUAUUUUUAAGUAACUUGCCUGCGCAAAAUUUGUAAAAAGAAAAUUUCCUCUGCCUUUUGCACAUGCUGAUAUUUCCGCUCAGUUAAAAUAUACACAUAUAUACC